rfam:Toxocara canis scaffold1504, whole genome shotgun sequence.
GGCGAGAUGGAAGAGCGGUCUAAGGCGCUGGUUCAAGGCACCAGUCUCUUCGGUGGCGUGGGUUCGAAUCCCACUCUCGUCA